GCUGAUAUGGCCGAGUCGUUAAGGCGAGUGAUUUGAAUUUCGCUGCGUGAGCGGCAUCUCACUAUCACUUGGGCAUUGCCCGCGUAGGUUCAAAUCCUGCUGUCAGCG